rnacentral:rRNA from 1 species
UACGUAGGGGGCAAGCGUUGUCCGGAAUCAUUGGGCGUAAAGAGCGCGUAGGCGGCUUGGUAAGUCCGUUGUGAAAACUCGAGGCUCAACCUCGAGACGCCGAUGGAAACCAUCAGACUAGGGUCCGGAAGAGGAGAGUGGAAUUCCUGGUGUAGCGGUGAAAUGCGCAGAUAUCAGGAAGAACACCCGUGGCUAAGGCGGCUCUCUAGUACGGUACUGACGCUGAGACGCGAAAGCGUGGGGAGCGAACAGG